rnacentral:tRNA from 1 species
ACCCUAUGAGUACAUCAGUAUUUUUGACUUCCAAUCAGAGGGUCUUGGCGAAAACCUAAGAUAGGGUA